rnacentral:rRNA from 1 species
AUUGAACGCUGGCGGCAGGCCUAACACAUGCAAGUCGAACGAGUGGCGGACGGGUGAGUAAUGUCUGGGAAACUGCCCGAUGGAGGGGGAUAACUACUGGAAACGGUAGCUAAUACCGCAUACCAUCGGAUGUGCCCAGAGGUGAUUAGCUAGUAGGUGUGGUAACGGCUCACCAAGGCGACGAUCCCUAGCUGGUCUGAGAGGAUGACCAGCCACACUGGAACUGAGACACGGUCCAGACUCCUACGGGAGGCAGCAGUGGGGAAUAUUGCACAAUGGGCGAAAGCCUGAUGCAGCCAUGACGCGUGUGUGAAGAAGGCCUUCGGGUUGUAAAGUACUUUAAGCGAGGAGGCGUUACUAGCAGAAGAAGCACCGGCUAACUCCGUGCCAGCAGCCGCGGUAAUUC